CAAGAGGCUGAGGCAGGAGGAUUGCAAGUUCAAAACCAGCCUCAGCAACUUAGUGAGGCUCUAAGCAACUCAGUGAGACCCUGUCUCUAAUGAAAUAUAAAAAAGGGCUGGGGAUGUAACUCAGUGGUUAAGCACCCCUGGGUUCAAUCCCUGGUAUCAAAAAAAAAAAAGACAAAAACUUUGAGGUCAUUUAUCAUUCCUUUCUCUCACACCUUACACCCAACAUCUCAAAAAAUCCUGAGAUCCACAUCUUCAGAAUAUUCCCAGGACUGUUCCACUUCUCUGUAUUUCUGUCUCCUAGAUCUGCACAUCAUCUUCUUUUGCCAGAAUAAAUGCAGUAGUUUCCUGUCACACCUCCUCGCUUCCAGUCUUGUCAAUGGCCAAUCUCCAAUCUCCAAUUAGCCUUUCUGUCUCCCUCUCUCCCUCUUUCUUUCCAUCUCUCCCUUUCUCCCUUCUCUUCCUCUCCCCUAAGUGAUUAAGGUUAAACUACCCUAAAUAGCAUCCCACUGUGGCAUGGCUGGACAUUCUGGAAGUUUGAACCUGGGAGCUGCUGACCCCUGAUUGAGGCAUUUAUAAUCUAGAUUUUAAAAAAAGAGCACGUAAAUCUCCAGGUCCAGUUUUCCUUGAUGCAUUCCCAUGGCUUGAGUAAGCAAACCAAUACAUUGACCUUUCUUCAUUUGCUAGUUAAAUUUGGUUUUCUGUUACUUUCAAGAGACACAUUCUAAUACCAUCUCACCUAAAUUAUCUCAAUUCAUCUUUUUUAUUGUUGUGUUUUUUGGAGGGAGCAGUUUUAAAUUGAUGGAGAAACUGAUCCCAACUGCAGAGAGUUUCCAUUGUCCUCCUUCCUCCCCUCUCCACUCAUAAUUCCCCUUUAUUUUUAUUUGUUUUACCUUUUUAUGCAGUGCAGGAGCGAACCCAGUGCCUCACGCGUGCUAGGCCAGAGCUCUGCCACUGAGCUACAGUCCCAGAACUCUCCCCCUGUUAUUUACAUCUUCUAUUAGUGUGGUGUGUUUAUUACAGUGGAUGAAUCAAUAUUGAUGUGAUACUAUUACUGAAGUCCAUAGUUUAUAGUCAGCUUCACCUUUUGUGCUCUGCAUUCUGUAGGUUUUGACAGUGUAUAAUGACAGGUGUCUGCCAUUAUGGUUUUGUUUGGGAGGGCUCCACUGAUCCAAACAUUCCCUCUCCUUUCUCUACCCCUCUUGAUUGAAAUGUUCACUUAACACAGACAGAGUGAAUACCCACCAUAUUACAUUUUGUUAAUUGCCAGGAACGUGAAAUAAGAUGUACAAAUAAAUGCAAUGAAGUGCUCACUGGUGACUCAGGAGACGUCAGCAAGGCAGAUGGUAAAGGCACAGAGAAAAGAACGGCAAGAAUUCUGGUGAACAUCAGUGAACAAAGUGUGAGGCCUUAUUAUCUACAACUCCUGUUUUGUAUAAAUAUUAUAUCGCUGCUAGGGGAAUGGCAUAAUAAU
rnacentral:lncRNA from 1 species